CCAGUCGGCCGGAUGGCCGCUGCUGAAAAGCAGAGGAAAGUCCGGGCUCCAUGGAUAAACGGUGCCGGAUAACAUCCGGCGGGGGCGACCCUAGGGAAAGUGCCACAGAAAACAGACCACCGGUACCGCUGCAAGGCGGGUGCCGGCCAGGGUGAAACGGUGCGGUAAGAGCGCACCGCGCGAGCAGCAAUGCAAGCGGCACGGUAAACCCCACCGGGAGCAAGACCGCAUAGGAACGACAAAGGCGUGGCAACAUGCUUUGGGCCUUUUCCAGGCUGUCGUUCGGGUUGGUUGCCAGAGGCAUUCGGCAACGAAUGUCCCAGAGGAAUGGCCAUCGCGUCGCUUUCCAUGUGAAAGCGGCCAUACAGAACCCGGCUUACAGGCCGACUGGCACU
rnacentral:RNase_P_RNA from 1 species